rnacentral:tRNA from 1 species
AUCUAAAUAGCUUAUAGAUAGAGCAUAGCAUUGAAGAUGCUAAGGAAAUAGCCUUAUUUUUAGAUA